GACGAACGCUGGCGGCGUGCUUAACACAUGCAAGUCAUGGGGACCCAGCAAUGGGUAACCGGCGAACGGGUGCGUAACACGUGAGUGACCUGCCGAUUUGUGGGGGAUAGCCGGGCCAACGCCCGGGUAAUACCGCAUACGCUCUUCUUGGGGCAUCUCUAGAAGAGGAAACCUCCGGGGCAAAUCGAGGGACUCGCGGCCUAUCAGCUAGUUGGCGAGGUAACGGCUCACCAAGGCUACGACGGGUAGCUGGUCUGAGAGGAUGGCCAGCCACAUUGGGACUGAGAUACGGCCCAGACUCCUACGGGAGGCAGCAGUGGGGAAUAUUGCGCAAUGGCCUAACGGCUGACGCAGCGACGCCGCGUGUGGGAUGACGCCCUUCGGGGUGUAAACCACUGUUGCUCGAGACGAAUAGCGAGCUUUAGCUCGCCUGACGGUAUCGAGUGAGGAAGCAC
rnacentral:rRNA from 1 species